CAAUGGCCGACCAGACUCAUACGUUGGUACGCUGCCCUACUUAAUUGAAAGAAAGACAGGGAUGACAACUUCCUAGACUUUUCAGGAAGAAAUGUAGUCUGUGCAUUCAGGUAAACUCUGGCGAGAGUCAAAUUAAAAAUAAAAAGUACAAGAGGGCAACUGCCUGGAUGUUGCAAGAGGAGAUGGAGCCUGUCUGAAAUCAGCAUCAGAGGGUGAUAGUCUUAAAGUGUGAGGAACGACUGGAUUGACCCUGCUGUGCUCCUUUUCCUUCUCUAUCCAUUGUAGAGGGCCAUGGUCAAAAUAUAUAUUUUUCCUAAAAAAACUUGGGAGUGUAUUUGAAUAGUGCUCUUAAAUUUGAUAUACAGGUCAGUUCUGUGGUCAAAUCUACUUUCCUUCAUCUGAGAGCACUGGCAAAGGUGAGGGCUUUUUUGUCCUUUAAGAAUUUUGAGAGGGCCAUUUAUGCCCUGAUUACGUCAAGGCUUGAGUAUUGCAACUCACUCUAUAUAGAAAUCUGUCAAAUUUCUCUUUCAAGGCUAAAAUUGUACAAAAUGCAGCUGCUAGGCUCCUGACUUACCAAUAUGCCUACCUUAAUUUCAUUACACUGGUUGCUGGCCCACUACAAAAUUGAUUUUAAAGUUCUAGUAUAAAUCUGUCAAUGGCUUAGCAGCAUCCUAUCUCGCUGAUCUCCUGCUGGAUCAUUACUCGGGGUGUCUCUGAGAUCCUCAAACCAACUAUUAGUGGUCCAGGACCAGAUUAAAACUUAGUGAGCAUUUGCAGUAGCAGCACCAAAAUUGUGGAACAGUGUGUCUGUUAGUAUUAGAACUGCCACAACUGUAGAUAAUGUUAAAUCAAAACUCAAAUCUUAUUUGUUUUCUAUAGCUUUUAAUCAAUAAUGCCUUGUCUAUUUUAUGUGUUAUUGAGUUUUACCCUAUACCACUAUAGCACUUUGGUCAAUGGCUGUUUUAAUUGAGCUCUUUAAAUAAAGUGACAUUGACACAGUCCAUCAGGGACCAUCCUCUUUGAAAUUCAGAAAGAACCGCCUGAUUCUUGAUUUCAAAAGGACCGUCUGUAACAGUAACAGGAACAACUGGGAAAAGUCUGGGCCAUGCAGGAUGCAGAGCCUUUCUUGCUGUUCUGCUCCACUAAACCUUUUUGGAUUGUCCUAUCUCUGUCAGGUCUGUGAGAAGACUGCUAAAAGGUUGCAUUCAGCCAACUAAAGAAGAACCUAAUUUUUGGUGCAUACUCUG